AUGAACGCUGGCGGCGUGCUUAACCCAUGCAAGUCGAACGAUGAAGCCCAGCUUGCUGGGUGGAUUAGUGGCGAACGGGUGAGUAACACGUGAGUAACCUGCCCUUAACUCUGGGAUAAGCCUGGGAAACUGGGUCUAAUACCGGAUAGGAGCGUCCACCGCAUGGUGGGUGUUGGAAAGAUUUAUCGGUUUUGGAUGGACUCGCGGCCUAUCAGCUUGUUGGUGAGGUAAUGGCUCACCAAGGCGACGACGGGUAGCCGGCCUGAGAGGGUGACCGGCCACACUGGGACUGAGACACGGCCCAGACUCCUACGGGAGGCAGCAGUGGGGAAUAUUGCACAAUGGGCGCAAGCCUGAUGCAGCGACGCCGCGUGAGGGAUGACGGCCUUCGGGUUGUAAACCUCUUUCAGUAGGGAAGAAGCGAAAGUGACGGUACCUGCAGAAGAAGCACCGGCUAACUACGUG
rnacentral:rRNA from 1 species